rnacentral:rRNA from 1 species
CAGUCGCCGCGGUAAUGCGUAGGGUGCGAGCGUUAAUCGGAAUUACUGGGCGUAAAGCGUGCGCAGGCGGUUAUGUAAGACAGGUGUGAAAUCCCCGGGCUUAACCUGGGAACUGCGCUUGUGACUGCACAGCUAGAGUAUGGCAGAGGGGGGUGGAAUUCCACGUGUAGCAGUGAAAUGCGUAGAGAUGUGGAGGAACACCGAUGGCGAAGGCAGCCCCUGGGCCAAUACUGACGCUCAUGCACGAAAGCGUGGGGAGCAAACAGGAUUAGAUACCCCUGUAGUCCCUGUCUCUUAUACC